GUUGGUUAUGGUGAUCAUUACCCAAAGUCAGUACUUGGAAAAUGUGUUGGAGCAUGCUGUGCCGUUUGUGGAGUUAUAAUAAUUGCAAUGCCUAUUGCCAUCAUUGCGACAAAU
rnacentral:sRNA from 1 species